CAGAGUAGUAUUAUAUCAGAAAAACCAACAUAAAGCAAGCGUUGGUUGGUAUGAACAACCCAACUGACCAAAGUGGUGUUGCUCUAUGUUGAUCAACCCUAAUUUGUGCGUCUCUUGAAGAAGGGCAACAUAUUCUCUGGGAAGCACCAUUUCAUGCCCAGUAACAACAACAACAACAACAACUACUACCUAGUACAGUCCCACAAAGUGGGGUCUGGGGAAGGUAAUAUGUAGACGGGCCUUACCCCUACCCGAAAGGGCAGAGAGGUUGUUUCCAAUCGACCAUCAGCUCAGUGAAGGAAAGGAAAAACAAAAGAGCAUUAGUAACUCAGCAGAAAUAUCCUAAAUAAUUAUCUAAACAUAAGAACCAUAAAUAAAAUACCAUGCAAUAAUAUCAGACAGUAACUACCAUAAAUAACUACCAUAAGGGAAACACAAUCCAAUACACAAAUCAUCAAUGGAUAGCCCUGCCAAGCCUCACCCAACCCCGGGUAAGGAGUACAAAAAACUAUAAGGGCCCCUAUCCUACAACCCUGAUACUAAACCUCCAGAAUUUCCUAUCAAGGGCCAUGUCCUCAGAAAUCCGCAUCCUAGCCAUGUCAUGCCUAAUCAUCUCUCCCCAAUACCUCUUAGGCCUCUCUCUGCAUCAAGGGUCAUGUCCUUGGAAACCCGCAUUCUAGCCAUGUCAUGCCUAAUAGAAAACUUGCAACAAAUAAAAAUGCGAUCAUUGCCUUCCGAGUGGUCACGGGAAAGAGAGCACAUGUGACUUAAUUGUAAACCCCUUCUUUGAAUAUUUCUUUGCGUAAGGCAAGCCUCUCUAGAAGCUAUUUCAAAUAUUCUUUCAUAGUUAUUUGGAGCUUCUCUUGUGGAGCCAAAAGUUCUGCAGUAGUUUUUGAUUGUAAAUUUGUCACUUUGUUGUCUUUGGUGCAAUUAACUAUCGGAUGAUAUACUUGGAAAAACGAAAUGAUU
rnacentral:lncRNA from 1 species